ACCCUCGGGUGACAGGGAGACAGGUGGUGCUAUGGUUGUCGUCAGGCUCGUGUCGUGAGAUGUUGGGUUAAGUCCCGCAACGAGCGCAACCCCUACGUUUAGUUGCUAACGCGUGAAGGCGAGCACUCUAGGCGAACUGCCGUUGACAAAACGGAGGAAGGUGGGGAUGACGUCAAAUCAUCAUGCCCCUUAUGUUCUGGGCUACACACGUGCUACAAUGGCCGGUACAGACGGAGGCGAAGCCGCGAGGCGGAGCAAAUCCGAAAAAGCCGGUCUCAGUUCGGAUUGCAGGCUGCAAUUCGCCUGCAUGAAGUCGGAAUCGCUAGUAAUCGCAGGUCAGCAUACUGCGGUGAAUACGUUCCCGGGCCUU
rnacentral:rRNA from 1 species